UACGAAGGGGGCUAGCGUUGCUCGGAAUCACUGGGCGUAAAGCGCACGUAGGCGGAUUUUAAGUCAGGGGUGAAAGCCCCCAGCUCAACUGGGGAAGUGCCUCUGAUACUGGCGGCCUCGAGGGAGGUAGGGGCGUGCGGAACUUCCGGUGGAGCGGUGAAAUGCGUAGAUAUCGGAAGGAACACCGGUGGCGAAAGCGGCGCGCUGGACCUCUUCUGACGCUGAGGCGCGAAAGCCAGGGGAGCGAACGGG
rnacentral:rRNA from 1 species